AAGGCUUCUGCGAGAAUGGUGGAACCUGCUUACAGACCUCCAACGGCACCAAACUUUGUCUGUGCCCCACCAAGUACGUCGGGCACCAGUGUGAGCUGGACAAAUGUCAGUUCUGCGGAACGGGCAAAUGUUUGACGUCAGCCUCAGGGGAGGUUUCCUGCAGCUGUCCAAAUGGUCAGAUCCAACCCAGCUGCUAUACCUGUUCAAACUACUGCGCACAUGGACAGUGUUCAGUAGACAAUCGCACACUGCUGCCACAGUGCACGUGUGCUGUUGGAUGGAGGGGAUACAGAUGUGAUAUCACAGCUCCUAUAGAGUCUCAUACUUCUAGUGGUAGUACUGCGUCAAUCAUCGUCCCAGUGCUGCUGCUGCUGUUGCUGGCAUUGCUGGUGGUUGGUGCCAUCUUGUGGUACAAGCAGAGAAUGCGUGGGUCUCUAUGCCCGGGCAAAUCUCGUUCUCAGUGCUCGCGGUAACUUGAUAGGGUUACAUAAUUCACCUGUUGACCCCCAA